CUAGGAAGUGGUGUAAUGGAAACACUUGGAGUUUUGAUCUCCAUGAUAUGGGUUCAAGUCCCUUCUUUCUAA
rnacentral:tRNA from 2 species